CUCAGCUGAGAAUCAUCUUCUUUAUGGGAGCCAUGAACAAGAUGGUCGAGUUCCUGGUCACCCACGGAGAGGAGCAACCCUCUGAAAAACUGUUGCAGGAAGCUGAGAAUAAAGUGAGCUUCUACUCGUCCGUCUUCGGCACGCUGCAGCUCUUGUGUCUGGUCACCUGUCCUCUGAUCGGA